rnacentral:misc_RNA from 1 species
UGCAGGAGGUCCGCGAGGCUGCCACC